rnacentral:rRNA from 1 species
GACGAACGCUGGCGGCGUGCUUAACACAUGCAAGUCGAACGGAAAGGCCUCAGCUUGCUGGGGUACUCGAGUGGCGAACGGGUGAGUAACACGUGGGUGAUCUGCCUUGCACUCUGGGAUAAGCUUGGGAAACUGGGUCUAAUACCGGAUAUGAACUGCCUUUAGUGUGGUGGUUGGAAAGUUUUUUCGGUGCAAGAUGAGCUCGCGGCCUAUCAGCUUGUUGGUGGGGUAAUGGCCUACCAAGGCGUCGACGGGUAGCCGGCCUGAGAGGGUGUACGGCCACAUUGGGACUGAGAUACGGCCCAGACUCCUACGGGAGGCAGCAGUGGGGAAUAUUGCACAAUGGGCGGAAGCCUGAUGCAGCGACGCCGCGUGGGGGAGGACGGCCUUCGGGUUGUAAACUCCUUUCGACAGGGACGAAGCUUUUUGUGACGGUACCUGUAGAAGAAGCACCGGCUAACUACGUG